rnacentral:rRNA from 1 species
UACGUAGGGGGCAAGCGUUGUCCGGAUUCAUUGGGCGUAAAGAGCGUGUAGGCGGCCAGGUAGGUCGGUUGUGAAAACUGGAGGCUCAACCUUCAGAGGUCGACCGAAACCAUCUGGCUAGAGUCCGGGAGAGGAGAGUGGAAUUCCUGGUGUAGCGGUGAAAUGCGUAGAUAUCAGGAGGAACACCUAUGGCGAAGGCAGCUCGCUGGGACGGUACUGACGCUGAGACGCGAAAGCGUGGGGAGCGAACAGG